GACGAACGCUGGCGGCGUGUUUAACACAUGCAAGUCGAACGGAAAGGCCUUUUCGGCGGUACUCGAGUGGCGAACGGGUGAGUAACACGUGGGUGAUCUGCCCUGCACUCUGGGAUAAGCCUGGGAAACUGGGUCUAAUACCGGAUAGGACCGCACUUUAGUGUGUGUGGUGGAAAGUUUUUUCGGUGUAGGAUGAGCCCGCGGCCUAUCAGCUUGUUGGUGGGGUAAUGGCCUACCAAGGCGGCGACGGGUAGCCGGACUGAGAGGUUGGUCGGCCACAUUGGGACUGAGAUACGGCCCAGACUCCUACGGGAGGCAGCAGUGGGGAAUAUUGCACAAUGGGCGCAAGCCUGAUGCAGCGACGCCGCGUGGGGGAUGACGGCCUUCGGGUUGUAAACUCCUUUCGCCAGGGACGAAGCGUUUUGUGACGGUACCUGGAGAAGAAGCACCGGCUAACUACGU
rnacentral:rRNA from 1 species